rnacentral:rRNA from 1 species
UCGAGAAUUUUUCUCAAUGGGCGAAAGCCUGAAGGAGCGACGCCGCGUGGGGGAUGAAUGGCUUCGGCCCGUAAACCCCUGUCAUUUGCGAACAAACCUCGCCAUUUAACAGACGGCGAGCUGAUUGUAGCGAAAGAGGAAGGGACGGCUAACUCUGUGCCAGCAGCCGCGGUAAUACAGAGGUCCCAAGCGUUGUUCGGAUUCACUGGGCGUAAAGGGUGCGUAGGUGGUUGGGUAAGUCUGAUGUGAAAUCUCCGAGCUUAACUCGGAAAUGGCAUUGGAUACUAUUCGGCUAGAGGGUUGGAGGGGGGACUGGAAUACUUGGUGUAGCAGUGAAAUGCGUAGAUAUCAAGUGGAACACCAGUGGCGAAGGCGAGUCCCUGGACAACUCCUGACACUGAGGCACGAAAGCUAGGGGAGCAAACAGGAUUAGAUACCCUGGUAGUCCUAGCCGUAAACGGUGCAUAUUUGCUGUAAAAGGAAUCGACCCUUUGUGGCGAAGCAAACG